rnacentral:rRNA from 1 species
UAAUACGGAGGGUGCGAGCGUUAAUCGGAAUUACUGGGCGUAAAGGGUGCGUAGGUGGUUUAGUAAGAUAGCUGUGAAAUACCCGGGCUUAACCUGGGCAGGUCAGCUAAGACUGCAAGACUAGAGUAUAGGAGAGGGUAGUGGAAUUUCCGGUGUAGCGGUGAAAUGCGUAGAGAUCGGAAGGAACACCAGUGGCGAAGGCGGCUACCUGGCCUAAUACUGACACUGAGGCACGAAAGCGUGGGGAGCAAACAGGAUUAGAUACCCUGGUAGUCCACGCUGUAAACGAUGUCAACUAGCUGUUAGUUUCGUAAAGGAAUUAGUGGCGCAGCCAACGCGAUAAGUUGACCGCCUGGGGAGUACGGUCGCAAGAUUA